UUAAAGAGUUCUAUAACUCCCAAACCCAUGUGAACAUACCUAACGUUGCCUCGGCAGGUCGCACCUACCUUGUAGCACCCUACCCUGUAGGGCCUACCCGGGAGGUGCGGGUAAGCCUGCCGGCGGCCCACCAAACUCUGUUUGAUAUUGAAUUCUGAACCUAUAACUAAAUAAGUUAAAACUUUCAACAACGGAUCUCUUGGUUCUGGCAUCGAUGAAGAACGCAGCGAAAUGCGAUAAGUAAUGUGAAUUGCAGAAUUCAGUGAAUCAUCGAAUCUUUGAACGCAUAUUGCGCCCAUUAGUAUUCUAGUGGGCAGGACCGUUCGAGCGUCAUUUCAACCCUUAAGCCUUCGUUGCUUAGUGUUGGGAGCCUACGGCAACGUAGCUCCUCAAAGUUAGUGGCGGAGUUGGUUCACACUCUAGACGUAGUAAUUUUUUAUCUCGCCUAUUAGUUGGACUAAUCCCCUGCCGUAAAACCCCCAAUUUAUCAAGGUUGACCUCGAAUCGGUUCAGACAAACUCGCUAAAUUGAAGCAUCUUAGUCAGCGAAGGAAAAGAAACCAACAGGGAUUGCCCUAGUAACGGCGAGUGAAGCGGCAACAGCUCAAAUUUGAAAUCUGGCCCUCGGGUCCGAGUUGUAAUUUGU
rnacentral:rRNA from 1 species